UGGGGAAUAUUGCACAAUGGGCGCAAGCCUGAUGCAGCCAUGCCGCGUGUGUGAAGAAGGCCUUCGGGUUGUAAAGCACUGUCAGCGGGGAGGAAGGCGUUAAGGUUAAUAACCUUGGCGAUUGACGUUACCCGCAGAAGAAGCACCGGCUAACUCCGUGCCAGCAGCCGCGGUAAUACGGAGGGUGCAAGCGUUAAUCGGAAUUACUGGGCGUAAAGCGCACGCAGGCGGUCUGUCAAGUCGGAUGUGAAAUCCCCGGGCUCAACCUGGGAACUGCAUUCGAAACUGGCAGGCUAGAGUCUUGUAGAGGGGGGUAGAAUUCCAGGUGUAGCGGUGAAAUGCGUAGAGAUCUGGAGGAAUACCGGUGGCGAAGGCGGCCCCCUGGACAAAGACUGACGCUCAGGUGCGAAAGCGUGGGGAGCAAACAGG
rnacentral:rRNA from 1 species